CGACCUCAGAGCAGGCGAGACUACCCGCUGAAUUUAAGCAUAUUACUAAGCGGAGGAAAAGAAACUAACAAGGAUUCCCCCAGUAGCGGCGAGCGAACAGGGAAGAGUCCAGCACCGAACCCCGCAGGCUGCCGCCUGUCGUGGCAUGUGGUGUUUGGGAGGGUCCACUACCCCGACGCCUCGCGCCGAGCCCAAGUCCAACUUGAAUGAGGCCACGGCCCGUAGAGGGUGCCAGGCCCGUAGCGGCCGGUGCGAGCGUCGGCGGGACCUCUCCUUCGAGUCGGGUUGCUUGAGAGUGCAGCUCCAAGUGGGUGGUAAACUCCAUCUGAGACUAAAUAUGACCAUGAGACCGAUAGCGAACAAGUACCGUGAGGGAAAGUUGAAAAGAACUUUGAAGAGAGAGUUCAAAAGUACGUGAAACCGUUCUGGGGUAAACGUGAGAAGUCCGAAAGGUCGAACGGGUGAGAUUCACGCCCAUCCGGCCACUGGCCUCCGCCCUCGGCAGAUGGGGCCGGCCGCCCGCGCGGAGCAAUCCGCGGCGGGGUCGUGUCCGGUUGCCUUUCCACUCGCCGCGGGGUGGGGCCGUUCCGGUGUGCGGUGGGCCGCACUUCUCCCCUAGUAGGACGUCGCGACCCGCUGGGUGCCGGCCUACGGCCCGGGUGCGCAGCCUGUCCUUCCGCGGGCCUCGGUUCGCGUCUGUUGGGCAGAGCCCCGGUGUCCUGGCUGGCUGCCCGGCGGUAUAUCUGGAGGAGUCGAUUCGCCCCUUUGGGCGCUCGGGCUCCCGGCAAGCGCGCGCGGUUCUUCCCGGAUGACGGACCUACCUGGCCCGGCCCCGGACCCGCGCCGCUGUUGGCUCGGGAUGCUCUCGGGCGGAAUAAUCGCUCCCGUCAGCGGCGCUUCAGCUUUGGACAAUUUCACGACCCGUCUUGAAACACGGACCAAGGAGUCUAACAUGUGCGCGAGUCAUUGGGCUGUACGAAACCUAAAGGCGUAAUGAAAGUGAAGGUCUCGCCUUGCGCGGGCCGAGGGAGGAUGGGGCUUCCCCGCCCUUCACGGGGCGGCGGCCUCCGCACUCCCGGGGCGUCUCGUCCUCAUUGCGAGGUGAGGCGCACCUAGAGCGUACACGUUGGGACCCGAAAGAUGGUGAACUAUGCCUGGCCAGGACGAAGUCAGGGGAAACCCUGAUGGAGGUCCGUAGCGAUUCUGACGUGCAAAUCGAUCGUCGGAGCUGGGUAUAGGGGCGAAAGACUAAUCGAACCAUCUAGUAGCUGGUUCCCUCCGAAGUUUCCCUCAGGAUAGCUGGUGCUCGUACGAGUCUCAUCCGGUAAAGCGAAUGAUUAGAGGCCUUGGGGCCGAAACGACCUCAACCUAUUCUCAAACUUUAAAUGGGUGAGAUCUCCGGCUUGCUUGAUAUGCUGAAGCCGCGAGCAAACGACUCGGAUCGGAGUGCCAAGUGGGCCACUUUUGGUAAGCAGAACUGGCGCUGUGGGAUGAACCAAACGCCGAGUUAAGGCGCCCGAAUCGACGCUCAUGGGAAACCAUGAAAGGCGUUGGUUGCUUAAGACAGCAGGACGGUGGCCAUGGAAGUCGGAAUCCGCUAAGGAGUGUGUAACAACUCACCUGCCGAAGCAACUAGCCCUGAAAAUGGAUGGCGCUGAAGCGUCGUGCCUAUACUCGGCCGUCAGUCUGGCAGUCAUGGCCGGUCCUUGCGGCUGGCCGCGAAGCCCUGACGAGUAGGAGGGUCGCGGCGGUGGGCGCAGAAGGGUCUGGGCGUGAGCCUGCCUGGAGCCGCCGUCGGUGCAGAUCUUGGUGGUAGUAGCAAAUAAACCAGCGAGGCCCUGGAGGGCUGACGCGGAGAAGGGUUUCGUGUGAACAGCCGUUGCACACGAGUCAGUCGAUCCUAAGCCCUAGGAGAAAUCCGAUGUUGAUGGGGGCCGUCAUAGCAUGAUGCGCUUUGUGCUGGCCCCCGUUGGGCGAAAGGGAAUCCGGUUCCUAUUCCGGAACCCGGCAGCGGAACCGAUACAAGUCGGGCCCCUCUUUUAGAGAUGCUCGUCGGGGUAACCCAAAAGGACCCGGAGACGCCGUCGGGAGAUCGGGGAAGAGUUUUCUUUUCUGCAUGAGCGUUCGAGUUCCCUGGAAUCCUCUAGCAGGGAGAUAGGGUUUGGAACGCGAAGAGCACCGCAGUUGCGGCGGUGUCCCGAUCUUCCCCUCGGACCUUGAAAAUCCGGGAGAGGGCCACGUGGAGGUGUCGCGCUGGUUCGUACCCAUAUCCGCAGCAGGUCUCCAAGGUGAAGAGCCUCUAGUCGAUAGAAUAAUGUAGGUAAGGGAAGUCGGCAAAUUGGAUCCGUAACUCCGGGAUAAGGAUUGGCUCUGAGGAUCGGGGCGUGUCGGGCUUGGUCGGGAAGUGGGUCAGCGCUAACGUGCCGGGCCUGGGCGAGGUGAGUGCCGUAGGGGUGCCGGUAAGUGCGGGCGUUUAGCGCGGGCGUGGUCUGCUCUCGCCGUUGGUCGGCCUCGUGCUGGCCGGCGGUGCAGGAUGCGCGCGCCUGCGCGGCGUUCGCGCCCCGGUGCUUCAACCUGCGUGCAGGAUCCGAGCUCGGUCCCGUGCCUUGGCCUCCCACGGAUCUUCCUUGCUGCGAGGCCGCGUCCGCCUUAGCGUGCUCCUCCGGGGGCGCGCGGGUGCGCGGAUUCUCUUCGGCCGCCAUUCAACGAUCAACUCAGAACUGGCACGGACUGGGGGAAUCCGACUGUCUAAUUAAAACAAAGCAUUGCGAUGGCCCUAGCGGGUGUUGACGCAAUGUGAUUUCUGCCCAGUGCUCUGAAUGUCAACGUGAAGAAAUUCAAGCAAGCGCGGGUAAACGGCGGGAGUAACUAUGACUCCUGGCCCGCGCCCUCCCCGAGCGUCUGCUUCGCGCCCGGACGUCACUUCUCCCCAAAACGGCUGCACCAACAUCCCCCGCUGACUUUCGCCCCAUUACGGUCUGCUCGGUGUUGGCGCGGACCUUUCACAAGGUUCUCGCGUCACGCCUGAUGCGUGCAUGUGCUGUGGACGAACGUCAGCGGGCAUUCAUCCCCCGGGAUGGGAUGUUGGAAAACACCUUCAUCUUGGACACUGCUCUCACCGACGCAGUCCGCUCCUGUCGCUCUGUUUUUGUGGCAUCGAUCGACGUCUCUAAAGCGUUCGAUUCGGUGGACCAUGCUGCCCUCCGCCCCGUGCUGAGGGCUCAUGGCCUGCCGGAUUGCUUUAUUGAGUACGUCGAAAGGUGUUACGAGGGUAGCACGACAGUGAUAGCGGGCGGCGCCGACGUGGGCGUGCCCCUGCAGCCGGCUAGGGGUGUGCGUCAGGGUGACCCCCUCUCCCCCCUCCUUUUCAAUUUUGCGGUGGACUAUGUUUUGAGUCAACUUCCCUCCCACAUCGGAGCUCGGAUCCUUGGUCGCAGAGUUAACGCUGCGGCCUUCGCAGAUGACGUCCUGCUUUUUGCAUCGACCGCGAGGGGAUUGCAGUCCCUCAUCGACGCAGCCGUCGCAGCCCUCGCCCAUCUGGGGCUGCAGAUCAACGCCCGGAAGUGUUUCACCCUCGCCUUAGUCGCGUCUGGGCGCGACAAGAAGGUGAAGGUCGACGCCGACGUUACCUUCAAAGCGGGCAACGCCACCGUGCCCGCCCUACGUGUGGGUGAAACCUUCCGGUACCUGGGACUGCAAUUCUCCACCGCGGGUCGCUGCGUUUUCAACCCACGACGCCACCUGGUGGAGCAGCUGGACGUCAUCUCCCGAGCUCUGCUCAAGCCGCAACAGCGCCUCCACGCCCUCACCACCGUACUUCUGCCUGGCCUGUACCAUGGGCUGGCCCUCAGCCGCACCCGAGUGGGUGCGUUGAAAGCGGCAGAUGUGACCAUCCGUGCCGCCGUCAGGAGAUGGUUCCGCCUUCCGGCGGACACUCCCCUGGGCUACUUCCACGCUCCUGUAGCCCAGGGAGGCCUCGGCAUCCCAUCAUGCCGAUGGAUGGGGCCAACACUUCGCCGGUCCCGUCUCCUGGCGCUGAAGAGGAUUGGGCCAGCCGCCGACGGUGCAGGCCGGGACGAGGUGCAGCGUGAGAUUGAGGCGCUGGAGCGGCAUCUUAUGUGGGAGGGCCACCUCCUCAAAUCGUCGACGCAGGUUGGAGAGAUGUGGGCCGCGCGCCUGCACGUUGCCUUUGACGGUGCGGCGCUGUCAUCUUCCGCCGCCGUCAAGGGGCAACACCAGUGGGUCGCUGACACCAGUCGCCUGCUAUCUGGGCGUAACUUCAUCGACGCUCUCCGCGCCCGCAUCAACGCCUUCCCCACGAAGGCACGGCGCAGUCGCGGGCGGGAGGCGGACACCAGAUGCCGCGCGGGCUGCCAGGCCGUAGAGACCGCCAACCACGUGUUACAGGCUUGCUUCAGGACGCACGGGUCCCGGGUUAAGCGGCAUGACGCGAUCGUGCGCUAUGUCGCCCGUGGACUCGCGCAGAGGGGCUUCAACGUCUCUGUGGAGCCCCACCUCCGCACACCUGAGGGAAUCCGCAAGCCUGACGUGGUGGCGGUUAAAGACGGCAUCGCCCGCGUCAUCGACGCCCAGGUAGUCGGAGACCAUCUCCGGCUCGACUGGUGUCACUCCGAGAAAGCGGCCUACUACAACACGCCGUCCAUCAGGCGUGCCAUCUCCAACCUGCACCGUGACGUUGAGGAGGUUACAGUGUCCACCGCGACAUUGAAUUGGAGGGGUGUAUGGUCUCCAGCGUCGGCCGGAGAUCUCUCCGCACUUGGAUUUAGACCCCGAGAACUGGCGGUGCUUAGCACAAGAGUACUGCAAAGCUGCUGCACGAGCUAUCGCAUUUUCGAAUAUAUGACGACGCAAAGACCGAUGGAGCGAGCCGGCGUCGGAUAGGAUGCUGGUUAUUUUCUUCGCCUUGACUCCUGGGGCCUAUCCACAGGAGGAAUAUCCCGUCUUUGUUCUUUCUUCUUUGUGUAUGUAACUUGUGUUGU